rnacentral:rRNA from 1 species
UACGUAGGGUGCAAGCGUUAAUCGGAAUUACUGGGCGUAAAGCGUGCGCAGGCGGUUUUGUAAGUCUGUCGUGAAAUCCCCGGGCUCAACCUGGGAAUUGCGAUGGAGACUGCAAGGCUAGAAUCUGGCAGAGGGGGGUAGAAUUCCACGUGUAGCAGUGAAAUGCGUAGAGAUGUGGAGGAACACCGAUGGCGAAGGCAGCCCCCUUGGUCAAGAUUGACGCUCAUGCACGAAAGCGUGGGGAGCAAACAGG